rnacentral:rRNA from 1 species
AGUCGAACGGUGAACACGGAGCUUGCUCUGUGGGAUCAGUGGCGAACGGGUGAGUAACACGUGAGCAACCUGCCCCUGACUCUGGGAUAAGCGCUGGAAACGGCGUCUAAUACUGGAUAUGUGACGUGACCGCAUGGUCUGCGUUUGGAAAGAUUUUUCGGUUGGGGAUGGGCUCGCGGCCUAUCAGCUUGUUGGUGAGGUAAUGGCUCACCAAGGCGUCGACGGGUAGCCGGCCUGAGAGGGUGACCGGCCACACUGGGACUGAGACACGGCCCAGACUCCUACGGGAGGCAGCAGUGGGGAAUAUUGCACAAUGGGCGCAAGCCUGAUGCAGCAACGCCGCGUGAGGGAUGACGGCCUUCGGGUUGUAAACCUCUUUUAGCAGGGAAGAAGCGAAAGUGACGGUACCUGCAGAAAAAGCGCCGGCUAACUACGUGCCAGCAGCCGCGGUAAUACGUAGGGCGCAAGCGUUAUCCGGAAUUAUUGGGCGUAAAGAGCUCGUAGGCGGUUUGUCGCGUCUGCUGUGAAAUCCCGAGGCUCAACCUCGGGCCUGCAGUGGGUACGGGCAGACUAGAGUGCGGUAGGGGAGAUUGGAAUUCCUGGUGUAGCGGUGGAAUGCGCAGAUAUCAGGAGGAACACCGAUGGCGAAGGCAGAUCUCUGGGCCGUAACUGACGCUGAGGAGCGAAAGGGUGGGGAGCAAACAGGCUUAGAUACCCUGGUAGUCCACCCCGUAAACGUUGGGAACUAGUUGUGGGGUCCAUUCCACGGAUUCCGUGACGCAGCUAACGCAUUAAGUUCCCCGCCUGGGGAGUACGGCCGCAAGGCUAAAACUCAAAGGAAUUGACGGGGACCCGCACAAGCGGCGGAGCAUGCGGAUUAAUUCGAUGCAACGCGAAGAACCUUACCAAAGGCU